rnacentral:lncRNA from 1 species
AUGGAGAAAGCGGGGGAAAGAGCCCCCAGACACCAGUGCAAGGCGCUCACCUGGUGAAGGCCUUGCCCAACACUGUGGGUGGAGGUCAGACCUGUUUUUCCAUACCAAUUGCAAGAACCAGCCCCUGCUCUCCUACUGGUCUGGGCUAGAGUGAACGCUCUCUCCUUCCCGGCAGCUGCCCCAACAAAGGGAGCCGCCUGGUCAUUGGUCUUGGAUUAUUCAGGUUUCCAAGGAAGCCAUCGGUCAGGCCCAGAUGAUUCAGAGAAUUCAGUAAGACACGACAGCAGAUGGCUCUGGAGGCCCAGACCCCCAGUUCCCGGACAAGGGGGCCAAAGAGCCGCUGGGGAGACGAGGCUGCUGCCCCAGGGGAAGGGGCUCCCCGGCGGGGCUGUCUGAGGCUGGCCUGGGGAUGCCUGCUCAGCUUCAUGUCUGCCUUUCCUGGCCUUGUUCUUCCUCCGGGCAACAGUUCCCAGCCCGAGAACCCAUGCUUUGUCCAGAGCCGUUCUCCAUCCAGGACUGGGUCUGGCAUUUGAGAAACCGCAGGGAGGCCCAGGCUGGCUCUGCUGCCCCAGCUCCUCAGCUGCCUGUCGUGGGCCCUUACAGGGGUCAGGGAUACCACUGCAUUCUGAAGAGCCAAGCAGGCCUUACGCCUUUCCCAGAAGGCAUGGGAAAGCGCCCAGAAACGUGGCUGUGGUUUUUCUCUUUCCUGGUGUAGUUUCCCUCCACCCCUGCCCCACCUAAGCAAACCCCAUCUCCCAUACUGACUCUCCCUCCUCUCUUAGGGCACCUGUGGUCAAAGGUAAGAGAGUGACAAUUUAGAGGGGGGACAUUGUGAGAGGGUGUGUGUGUGUGUGUGUGUGUGUGUGUGUGU